rnacentral:rRNA from 1 species
UACGUAGGUGGCGAGCGUUGUCCGGAAUCACUGGGCGUAAAGCGCGCGUAGGCGGACCUGCAAGUCGGGGGUGAAAGCCCGAGGCUCAACCUCGGAACUGCCUUCGAUACUGCGGGUCUCGAGUCCGGGAGAGGUGAGUGGAAUUCCUAGUGUAGAGGUGAAAUUCGUAGAUAUUCGCAAGAACACCAGUGGCGAAGGCGGCUCACUGGCCCGGUACUGACGCUGAGGCACGAAAGCGUGGGGAGCAAACAGG